GCAAGUGAUGAUUUGAAAAUUCUUCACUUUGACCUGACUAAUCAGUGAUGAUAACCUUCAGCCUGAGC
rnacentral:snoRNA from 2 species